GACGGAAGGUGCAAGCGUUGCUCGGAAUCACUGGGCGUAAAGGGUGCGUAGGCGGGUCUUUAAGUCAGGGGUGAAAUCCUGGAGCUCAACUCCAGAACUGCCUUUGAUACUGAGGAUCUUGAGUUCGGGAGAGGUGAGUGGAACUGCGAGUGUAGGGGUGAAAUUCGUAGAUAUUCGCAAGAACACCAGUGGCGAAGGCGGCUCACUGGCCCGAUACUGACGCUGAGGCACGAAAGCGUGGGGAGCAAACAGG
rnacentral:rRNA from 1 species